rnacentral:lncRNA from 10 species
CCAAAGUGCUGGGAUUACAGGCGUGAGCCACCGCGCCUGGCCAAGAUGUCUUUUCUUAUACUCUCUUUGGGGUUCAUUGACUGUACUUCACCAGUUUCUUAAGAUGAAUGCUGAGAGUACUGAUAUCCAACUCAUCUUCUUUUUUAAUAUGUUCACUUAAGGACUGAGUCUACGUUCUAAAGGAAGGGAACUGGGCAAAAACUGAAUGACCUCUUCUCACAAAAGGUAAUAUGUGACAAUGGGAGCACCAUCCAGCUCUACAUGGGAACCCUUGUAAUGAACGAAGGUAAGGGACUUAUCAUAGCAUGUAGGCUUAGAUGCAUCCAUCUGCAGUGGGCAUAGCUUCAGAUCAUCAGAGGGUUCUGGUAUACCCUGGCUUCUGAUACAUCUGCAGAAAGUGGGUAUCAGGGGCUCCACAAAUAGAAGAAGAGGUGUUAGCAUCAGUGGAGACCCCAUGAAGCUUGGGAAUAUCAAAGACUGUGAUGCAGGCAUCUCUCCAGGAAGCUGGAGCAGCACAGGACGGGAGGAAGAGAGUGGAUGUUGUGUAGCCCAUGUUCAUGAACACAUGUGAGAUGCUUGCUGGAAACAGCUGGGAAUGUGGUGAAGCCUGACUUUAAAGGAGAGAAGUCUACAGUUUCUUGUGUUAGUUCAG